ensembl:lncRNA
GGGGGAGAGAGGGAGGGGGUGCUCGAUGCUGCGAAGAAUAAAUAUAUAAAACAUAUCACUAUGAACGCGAUCAGAAGUCCAGCUUUUUCGUAUCUACAAAUUAUUAUCUCGUCGACAAAAAGGAACUAUUACAAAAAAAAAUAACAGAUCCACACAACACAAUGGCACGUUAGCCACGUUAGCUCAACACUGCUAGCCAAACGCUGUUAGCUAAACAAUGUUAGCUUCGUCCGGCAGCAGCAGUUUGGCGCCAAUUCGAGGCUGACAGAAAAACGACCUUAUCAAGACAAGAGACGCGCAUCUCCGCUCGUUCAUUCAGAAGGUAUUUUAGAUGAGAGAAAAUGGAUACAAUCACACAAGAAGAUUACAGUCCAAACACUGAGAGUGAGCUUACUUCACCAUUUCCCCCCAAACGGCCGAGGACAGACUGUACACACAACAACGGUGGCAAAAGCAGUUUUGCAUUUCCGGAACUUGUGACGUUUUGGAAAACCGUCGGCUCCUCAUCAUCGACAAGUACCUGGCAGGAAAAUGCAGGUUUACUACGCGCAGCAGAAGGUGGUGAUAUGGAAGAGCAACUACAAGACGCUCCAUUUAUUGUCAUUCCUAUUGCGAGCUUGACUACGUCACACACUGGAUCGUCUGACGUCAGCUCAAUCUCUGCAGAGAGAUGCUUCAAACUUCUGGUGAGAGAUGAGCAGCCUCCAAUCCCUCCAACCGACAAACUCAGCUCCACCGUGCCAGAUGAUGAAGAUCGGGCUGUAGCAGAGACCUGCACUUCGAAAGAAGGCAACGCUGAUACGUCCAGUCAGCCUGAUAGCAAACUGCUGGGGGAAGCGUGUGAAGACGAGGCGCUUGGAAAUAACAGCGCUGGAGCACUGGUGCAGAAUAGUGCCAGUCAAAUCCAAGCAUUGCAGGUCAGUUCAAGCGACUAUGGGCUCAGAUAUCAGUCUGGUUGCACUUCUGAAAAUGAAAGUAAUCAGGAGUGGCAAGAGCCUGGAUUCACAGAGACUAUCGUAUUCAGCGAGGAAGAUACAGUCUUAUAUCUUUCACUGAUUCUUUCUACUCAAACCCACAACGCUCAGGGAACUUAGCACAGAUUUGUGAAAAUAUUGCUAUAUGUAAGCAGGAAACAGAAGACCAAGUCAAUGAGAAUUGCACGAGCAUGAACUCCCCAUGAACCAGAAGGAUCAAUUGUUUCUUAUGAUGUUGUUUCACUCAGAAACAUUCCAAUUGAGAGGUUGAGUCUUGAUGCUGAUGACUUCUGUGGGGAAAAAGGAGAAGAGGCUGGUGCUAAGAUGAUAGCCCGAGCUCAGAGCAAAACGUCUGAUCACACGACAGGGACUCCCGUGCCUGCACAAAUCUGUCAAGGGCCUGCUGAAGGAGAUAAUGAUGCAAGUCCUUUCGCUGUAAUUGAACCUGCAAUCUGGAGUGAAACUGACAGGGAGGAAGAGAAGAGCUGCAACUCAGGGAGCGCUGCCGCCGGUGUACAAUCACUUCCAUCAGUAAAAGUCUGCACCAUGGAAACCCCUCUCCCCCUCUGCGCCCACGUCCGGCUAUCAAAGGAGGUUUUAACCCUCAACCAGAAUGGAAAGUCAGAUCACCAAAGCCUUACGCAGCAGCGCGAAGAUGGAAAAGAGGACUUAUGUCAGUCAUUCACUGAACCACUGGCUGGUUCUAUCACCACCAACGAAACACACAACAACAGCAGCUGUCACGGGGAAACCGGAGUCAGCCAUGAUACUGUGGGGCAUCAGUUGAAAGAGUCAGAUCGGUCCGGCUGUUUUCAUGUCAGUCCUGAACGAAUGAAGACAAAGGAGGUUGAAUAUUUACAGGCUGAAAUCACCAGAACGGACGGGACAACUGAGAUAAAAGAAAACGGAGGAAUGACAAGUUUUGAAGAAGAAAUAAGAACCGGUGAGCAACCAGAAAACUCCCAGGACACAGAAGAAGCAACGGAAACAUCAUCUGGUAAUUCCAUCAGGCACCGGACCGAAGGCAAAACUAGUAAAUAUGACGACAAACUAACACAUGUGGAUGACGCGUUGAAAAAUAUACUUGGAUUUCUGUCUGAUCACCCCUACAAUGCUGUGAUUUUACCAACGGAAGAAGCAGCGGGUGAAGAGGAAAGAAAAGAAGAGGCAAGUGUGGGUGCAGAACGCGACAUGUACGGUAGCUCGGAGAUAGUUGUGGAACGGGAGAAGGAAGACAUGCCUGAGGAAUGGAUCAGUGAACGGACAGAGGGACACAAUUUAACCCUGGGGAGUCAACGUGAACAAGAACACAAGCUCAGUUGUGUCUCGGACUUUCAACACACAGCUGAGACAUACGUGGUUGAUAAUAGAGAUGACCCUUCGACCUUGACUGCCUUCCCCUUCAACGGACGUCUGCCAGGAGGAAUUGACACGUUCGAAAGGAUCCAACUCUCCCUGGAUGGUGAUGAAGACGGCCUGAGCGAGAGCCUUCUCCUCAGCAGCCUACCUGAGCAGCUGCUGACAUCACCUCAGCAACAGCUCCAUAAGCACGAGGAGGUACCGCAGGAGGAAGAGGAGGAAACAUCUGGUCGUCACCCUGAGAACAAGGCAAAGGGCUUUUCAGGCAUCUAUAGCAUGUGUAAUGAAGUCCCCGACUGGAUCUCAGCAGCAGCAGAAGACAUCGCUCUCGUACGUCCAGAGCAACCGGCAAACUGUGGGAGGACUCACAACUCCCCCGAGUGCUUCCAGGGCGACUUCCAGUCCAGUGUUCCCCCCAGCAGCGAGGGUCCAGCCUCUGACGUAGACGACAGUCUGACCUUUGAGAAGAAAGAGCUGUUCAACAAGGUCUUGAAAGAGCUGAACCUGUUUUUUAGCAUCAGCACAAGUGAUUUCACAAGAGACAGCGGUGCAUCGUCCUCUGAGCAGUGUGUUCGUGUGUCUGGAGCCUCGGAUCGAGACAACUGCAAAGAAGAUCUCAGCAUCGCAAAACUAGGAUGCUAUGGAGACCCAUCGCCAGACUCCGGCCUGGAAAUGUGUGCUGGGGAUCCAGAUGUUUCUCCUACCUGUGAAGGCGAGCAGGAGGUUCCCCUCGGCAGCCAUCUGUGCACCGAGGAGACUCACAAAGAGCCCCCGCAGAGGAAGAGAUGGUCUCCGUCCUUCCCGGGUCCCCCUCUCCUGGAACAACUGGGCUACAGACAGCCGGAGCAGACGAGGCGGCUGGAGCCUCUGCGAACAUGCAACCGGCCCAUCCGGGUCGGACUCUCAAAGAGAGCCAAGACCAAACACCUGCACCCCCCGCCCUGCCGGGGGGCUUCGCUGCCUUAAACAGGACGGAGCGACGAGUGAUGGCUGUUCAUGUGUUGUGUUCUCUGCUUCAUCGCUCUCCAGGCUCCGGUUCCUGCUUCUUUAUUCAGGUUAUACGCUAAUAAGCCAGAUGCUGCUGCCAAGUAAGGAAUCCUGCUCUGUGUCCACAUUGUCCCUGCUCAAAGUAGUAUUCUAGUUUUCAUAUCUUCCCCAAUUUUUAUGCACUGAUCUAUUUAUAUAUUUAUGUAUUUAUUGGCUUUCUUUCAACCCAGAUUAGGGUUGAAAAAAGCACAUAUAUGUUAUUAGGGCAAAACUCAAUUCCUAGUUCUUUGAAUUAGUUGUGACGUGUAAUCGUUUGCUCUCUGCUGUAACGUCUUCUCUGUGCAACGUGUUCCGUGGAACGUCACUGCGAGUUGAAUGUGAAAAUAACCAGUUCCCCAUUCAAUUAAAUACUGUACUUGCAUACAAACGUGUUUUUAAUAUAUAUAUAUACACACACAUGACUCUUUUGGCAACACAUGAAUUAACAUCAAUGAGCUGGUUCCAAAUGAACGUCUCCAGUCGCUGCUCGGGCUCCGAGGCGGUCCGGCUGAGCUCCCAGGUGGACGAUGGACUCAGCUGUUGUGGUAAGUGGUAAGAGAGCUAUUUGGUCUACCUCCUGAAUGGGAACGGGGGGGGAGGUUGGUUGUUUAUCCUCACGUGCGCGGGUGAGACAGAUCCAGGGACAGUAGUGAGGAAAACAACAGGACAGCAGCCAUGUCAGUGAACAAUGGAUCCAUGUUCCCUUCACUGGAAGUCCUCUUUGUAAAAGAGCAGAAUGAAAAUGCAGAAAUGACAUCACACGAUUCUUUUAUCUGUAUAACGACUAAUUAGGACUUCUUCCCCUGCUGGAGCCCCGCAGGGUAUUUUACCAAAGCAAUUUGAGUUUGUUGUAUUCACCGAUGUUUCCCACGACUUUGGAAUAACAUUCGUGUCCCGAUCACGUCUGAGAUUUUUCUGGUGUAUAAUUUAGGUUCAGUGAGCAAGUUGCCUCAGCUGGCAGCCCGAUCAAAGGAAACACAGAGGUAUGGCUUUCCAAAAUAAUUGGAUUCUAGUGGAACACUUUGAAUGUGGCUGCAGCCUUGUGGAUUUGAUUCAUCCCCAGUAGAUAAUGGCUCAGUCACUGUUAGUUCUGCCCUGUGUGUUGGCCUGUUUGAAAUGGACAUUUUUUAACCCCUUUAGCUUAAAGCAUACUUCAUUCAACCAUUGGUGAUCAUUUGUAUUCCACUACAAUUGACAUUACUCUAAACACGCCAUGUUGCGUGUACAUCUGGAACAUGUUUCCUCCAUUUGUUGUCUUACUGCACACGCACAUGCCAGUAAUCUUCCGGGUUUUAGUUACAGCUCACUUGAGGUGCAGUGGAGGGUGUCUCCUAUGCACCAUUCUUACAUAACAGUCGCAUUUUCAAACUAUUCCAACAGCAUUAAAGUUAAUGAGCCAUACUAUUAUUACAAGGACGCCUCUGCUGUGUGUUCUUGUCUGCAUACGUGGGCACAUUUCACAGGAGCUUUUGUGAAUUUUGGAAAUACAGCGACUGCUUCUGCUAAUGUAAGAGCGUCUUGUCUACAAUAGAAUGAAUAAUACAUUAGUUUAAGUCAUUUUCAUGAGAUUGAGUAUUUUUUAUAAGUAUGUAGUCUAUUAUUACCAUAUGCUCGUGAAAUGUUUCUGAUGUCUUCCCAUGCAGUCCUUGUUUGACACAUCUGUAGCGCGGGAUGGAGUUCUGCACUCUGCACGUCUACCGCCCUCCUGCAGGGGGGGUCAGUGCCGGUCUGCCUCAGGGAUCCUAAGCAGGUGAGACAUAUUACUCACAGGUUUCACAGAUAAACAGCACAGAAAAUACUUUUUAGUCAAUACCAGACAAGAGAGGUCAAGAUUGUGACCUUUGAGCGGACCAAACACCUGGAGACGAGUCGUGAGAAAGCCGUGGUAUUGAAGUGUUUGAGGUUAGAGGUCUGAUUGUAGAAAGGUGAGCAGAUGAGCCCAGACGGGGGGGGGGGGAGCAUCGCCCCGGGUCCCCAGUAGACAUUUGCCCUGCUACAUAGCCAAUGCAGCGGAGGGUUCGUCUUGGCCCGUUAUUGCCAGAUGUGAUGUUGAACUGGUUCCUGGUCUCUGUCUAACAUGAGAGACACGUUGCAGCUUUAGAAAGUGAGGACACUUUGAAGGUUCCAGUGGAGCCACAAAGUUCUUACGAAAUGACUCAUACACCCUUUUCUCUAAAGCUUCACUGUGUGAUUCACUUAUAAUGAUCUGCAGGCAUUGGAGAUGUAGAACAAAACUAGAAACAAAACCUGCCAGGGAUUUAUAUUCCUGUGUUAUUCAUGUUCCUGUCAUCACCAAUAUGAAGGGGAUUAAGCACACACUUGUUUUUUUUCAUUAGGCGGGAUGGAACACAGCGUUUUCCCAGCAUGAGAGUCUAAAUAAUGUUGUAAAGCUCAUGCAGAGACCUGCGUAUUGUUCUCCCUUCAUGCCAGUUGGAUCAUUUGCGUGGCUCCUCUGUGGAGGAGUCACCGUGGCCUAUACUUAGAAAGCCUGUUACUGCAGAGCGAGAGGAUAAUUAACACAAUUUGAUUUCAAUAGCAAGCAAGAACAGCCAUUUUGCAGCUUUGAACAUCUAGUUUGUCACUGGCCCAGGCCUCCUGCAGACGGUGAAAAUAAGCGCUAUACUGACAUCCAUCAGCAAAAGAUGAUGUCAUAUAUUCAAAAAAUGUUGAUUCACCUGCAGCUGUUUCUUCUUCUCCAAGUGCACAGCGCAGCCUUAAGAUGUCUGUCUGUUCACUGUGGUUCAUCUCAGUACAUCAUUCGAAGGGGAAACUGUGGAGGCAAAGUGUCUCUCCACCACCAGACACACACCACACACACACACACACACACACUGCGCCGGUAUAUGCUGCCUUUUCCAGAUCAAUAGCAAUCAUUAGAUGAUUGACUCAGACUAAAAAUACACAGGAGUAUCUAUCGCCUCCGCGCUCUACUGAGUUCUCUGCUGGAUCGUACCGGCGUGAAAACACUUUGGGUUGUACGAAUGCUAUUUCAUGGAUGCUUUCAUCAUGAGUGCACGACACGCCGCCGUAACAGUACGUGGGGGUGUCGCUGAUGGGGGUGAGGGGGCGUCCUGACGUUUUACUACAGUCAAGCUCUGCACACAAAAUGUUGAACAACGCUGCUCCACAAAGAAGACAAACGGUUCACACUGGCCACCAUAUGUUGUCCUAAAGAUUCAAGAGAUUACUGGGACCUUUGAACUCAUCAGAACGAUGUCCUAAAUCCCUGCUGAGCUCAAGUCAGUGUGAGUACAGCAGGGUGCAGUAAAUGGAGACUUUAAGGACCUACUCAUUGAUUUUUCUAUCAUUGUUAUCAUCAAAUUAUUGUUCUUCAAUACAUAAAGAUCAUCAUGGCUACAGUACCAACAUUAUAACUUUGAUUCAAUAGCUGCCUGUAGCUCAAUACUGCCAGUGUUUUGGAUGGAGUGGAAUUCUGUAUCAUCAGUGUUUUAGCUUUGUAGGCCACACCAUGAAUCAUCAUUAGGUCCGCUGACAUCCAACGCUGUUCUGGGCAUCAGGGGAAUGUGCUGCUGAGCGAUGAGGUGGCUGCUUAUUCCACUGAGGUGGAGUCCAGUUGAGUGCGUGGAGCAUGAAUCAGGGCCAGGGCCAAUCGGCUGUAAGAACGUGGGCGGGCCUUGUAUUAAUGGCCUGAAUUAACAAGUGCCAAACUCUCACUUAAUUACGUACCAUGCUGCAGUGCCGUUCCAAUCCACCCACACCGACACUGGCCUUCUGAAUCCCAGCUGUCUCCAGAUUUCAGGGUUCAAGCUAAACGCUCCACAUUGCGAUUCAGAUAUGCAAAAUAAUAAUAAUAAUUCAUGCCGUUAUACAUUUUGCAUUUUCCAAGACAGCUUUGAUUGACACGGUCUCCAAACUCAAUACAGACUGAUUAACCUGCUGAUAUUGGACCGGUUUAUUAAUCUGAGGACUAGCAGGGCAAUUUGUUGCCUCGUCUGAAAUGACUGCGGUUUGUGCCGUUGGUCCAUUUGAAAACAUUAAUAUUAAAAGUCACUCUUAAUAAGAGGGAAUCUGUCCUGGAACAGCUUGUGUGGACCGACUGCCAUAGACACGUUCUCAUGUUCUAAAUGGGGGAGCCUGGUUCUGGAUAAAGCAUGUCUGGCUUCUUCCAAGCAGACGCUGUCUGCCAUCUUACUCUCCUAUAUGCUCCGUCACAGCGAACAUUUCCACGUCCCUGAACGGGUCAAAUGACAGAUCUAUUUAUUGUUGGAAGAGUUGGUUUACCAACAGAAGAUCAGUGUGCAAGCAAAGUAUACAAAGGAGUUACGAGCUCACGAUCAGAUUCGUGCUUCUUCUCCUCGCACACACAAGUGGAUACUCUAUGAGUCCUCAUUAAUAUGCCGAGCAUGCUCCUCAUUUCCAUUGAGUUAUGUUUUUCUUGUGAACAGCCCUUGACUCUGUGUUCUCUAUUGGAGGAGAUCACAGGAUUUGAUCUGAAUUCAAACUCAUAAAUUACUUUUAUGGACAUUGGGUUAUUGGAUGACCAAAUACAGCAGAGAGAAAUACAAAUAUUGUCCAAAAGUAACUAAACUAAUAAUAGUGGUAAUGGUUGCGCUCCUUUGGUGCCAACCUGACGACCUGCUUGCGUUUCAAUCUGUUCUCUCCUCUUUCUCUGCUUCUAUCUCUGCUGCCAAAAGCUCUUCAAAGGCUUCAAGGCCGUUCCACAGAGACUGCUCUCCUUGCUGUCUCAGAGCAUCUCCACACUGCUAGAGCUCCUGUCUCUCCUCUGUCCUCAUCCUUCUGGACCUCUCUGCUGCAUUUGACACAGUCAACCACCAGAUACUUAUCUCCUCCCUUCAAGAAACUUGGUGUCUCAGGCUCUGCUCUCUCCCUUCUCUCGUCCUACCUCGACGGCCGCACCUACCGGGUAACCUAGCGAGGAUCUGUGUCGGAACCUUGUCAUCUUACUACUGGAGUUCCUCAGGGUUCCGUCCUGGGUCCCCUCCUCUUCUCGCUCUACACCAACUCUCUCGGCGCUGUCAUUCGCUCGCAUGGCUUCUCCAACCACAGCUACGCCGAUGACACCCAACUAAUUCUCCACCAACUCUCCCUGACCCCCAACAUUACAGCAACAAUACGAUCCUUUAGAUACUCGCUCUACAACAUCAGGAGAAUACGUCCUCUCCUCACUCAGAAGGCGGCGCAGAUCUACAGUCUGAGGCCAUUGUUAUAAAGAGAGAGCCAAUGGAGUUAAUGCGUUUUUCCUUUUUUCUCAAAUCCAACGUGGGCGGAUGCGUGGUGGUCCGGUCUGAAUCGCUGCUGCCUGCUCAGAGCCCACGAUGCCUCCAGGAUGCACUCUGUUCGCUAUCGACUUUCUUUACUCAGCCACUUUGUCCAGCAUAUGAUAUGAUCAGUUCAUCCUGGCUGUAAACAUUUCUGGUAGUCGGCCUUGUUGGGACCUUUUGUGUGGAGCAAAUUGCUUUUUGAAAGUUUUGGUUUUUGUUACCUUGUUGGCUACAAAAUAAAAGCCUCCGGCUUUGUUUCAUAUUCACGUCUUUUUGAGAUGCCAAGUAGGCUCCUUGAUGACUGCAGGAGGGACUGAAGCUAAAAGUCUGCCUGUACGUGCUCACUGAUUGGCUACACGCGUUAUACAAAGACUGCUGUGUCCUCACCUUUGCUCCGUCCCACAGUCCCCUGCAGGUGGUCCCGGGGGACAGUGAUGGUGACCAAAGGUUUGACCUCUGCAGGAGAAUUUGUCAAUGCGCUGACCUGAGGUCAGCCGUCUCCGGGCCUGCAGGGUUCGGCUGGUUUGUCACUGAGGGAAUCCUCCAGAAGCAGCCACACGUCCUCAGAAGCAUGUUGAUGUUUUUAGAAUCAACGCACGUCUCGACACAGAGGCUGAUAAACCGCUGUGAAAUACCAGGGAAAAUAGAGACAGUGCUACCGCCACGUUAUAUUAAUACUAUGGAUUGUGAGGUGGGAGACAAAUGUGGUUGAUGACCAGAGAAAGUAUCAACGCACUGAGAACAGAAAAGAGUGGACCGUUCUAAUCUUUGAACAUGUUCAACAGAUCGAUGCGGUUCACACUGUAAUGUGACGUAAUGCAGAGAGUUAAACUGAGAUUUAGAUGUUCCCCUCCUUUUUCCCUCCCUCCUUUUUCCCUCCCUCCUUUUUCCCUCCCUCCUGCCCAGACAGACGACCAGGAGGGAACCGCUGCUGCAAUGCAGCAAAACAAAUUGUGAGAAUCUAUUAAGCUUUUGUGAUUGUCUCCUUGUUUGUCUUUGUGGCUCCGUCGGGGUUCGACAUGAAAGACGCUCCGAGUAGUGGAAGAUAAAAUCAACAUGCAGCGUAUUUUCACUUCAUGUGUCUUUAGUUGGUCAUAAAGGGAUCUGAAGGCCAUCAUUUAAUUGUUCUGGACACCAUUUCAAACCGGUGCGAUGUGACUUCAGCUGCCGUCCACACGAAGGUCGUCCUUUGCUCACGUCGGCCACCUGCAGCGUCCACGAGGGUUGUUGCACAAACAACGCUGAAUGCAAUGCAGACAAAGACGUCUGUGGCUCACUGGACAGGGAAAAUAAAGCGCGAUGUCCUUCACCCUUUCCACAGGGCACAUGGUGAUGGGACUAAUGGACGGCUCCAAAGUGCUUUGGGUUCAGGGUGACAGGUUCAGACUCUCCUUAUUCUUUGUAAAACCGAACACGUUGCAGCUCCAGGACAAUGUUUCACACUGCGUGUCUGCUUGUGAACAUAACUAAACACUAAAAUAAGAGUAAAUUAACCCUAAAAACACAAGUAAACAUUUCAAGCAGUUAAGAAGCCACUAAAAUGACUCAAUAUGUCGCACACAGAGUCGAGGACAUCGAUCGAGGGAGCGUCUCCUGGUAUCCUGGGUCCCGGACUGUGAUCUCUACCAGGUGGUUGCUGGCUUGUUACAAAAUGAGCACAAGCAAUUACUUGGCGCCCACAUUAAGUGGCACCGUUUACCACAUCGUUUAAACCACGAAGGCCGUUGGAGGCAAACAGGCACAACUACUAUUGUACGAGCUGCACAGUGAUUAUUCACUCAGUGGGGCAACACGCUUCCGUCUCCGGGCUGCGUUUCAGCGCGUGAGGGAUGGAUGGAGGGUGAGGCACUGUUCAUCUGAGGUUGUCGUGGUCGGUGGUGAAUAAGAGUAGAUGGCACACGGCCUGUUACCAUGGCAACGAGUCCCACGUUGACGGGCGGAGUGAAAUGAAUUCCAGUUAUUCUCUCGUUUUUAACAUGUAAAUUCCUCUCCCUCGUUUUUCCUCGGCUCCUCUUACUCACAUGUAUAUAUAUAUAAUAAUAAUAUAAUAUUAUAUAAGUGUGUGUGACGCGCUGAUGGCUGAUGAUUCAGGAGGAGAAUUGAUGCUUAUGUUCAGCUAACACGUUGUGUUUAGCCGCUGGAUGCAAUCACUCAGCAGCUCGACUCAACUAUUGUCAUGGAUUAUUUGUUGUGUAAUAAAUAAAACAACAUUUAAAAGUUCCUCUGGAUCUGUGGUUUUGAUUUAGGAUUUAACUGGCUUAUAUUUCCAGACGAAUUACAUAUCGGAGGGAGGCUGAAAUACAGUACGUGUAGAUAAUACACUAAUUGGAUAACUAUACAAAGGUUAGUUUUAAUUCAUCAUCUGUAUUAAUGAUCUAAAUUAGAGAUAAAUAGUUUUAAAAACUCAGAUCGUAGGCCCGGUAAUGAUUGCUGAUCCAAUACAUAAUGUAGAUAUGUUAAUAUGGCACAAGGCCUGUGUAGCCUGUGUAGUCUGAGACACAAUAAAUGACUCAUGUGCCUUGAUGUAAAACGUAAUAUCUAAUAAGAGCAGCAGGAGGGACAGAAGUUUAACUAAACAGGGAUGUAACAUUCUGCACAUGGCUGCAGAAAUCAACACAACAGGAAUCCCUUCAUUCAUCGGGACGGCAGCAUCGAAACGUAUGACUAAGGAAGUAAAAAAACAAUAUCUCUUUUACUUAAAUGAAAGAGCUUAUUGACAGCAGCUUCAAGAUGAACGCAAACAAUAAACACGAUGGGAUGGAAAUGUUUGCCCCUCUGCUUCGCCUGGAACUCUCCCAGUAGCUGCUGUUGACGGAGGAUGUUCGGCGGCUGAAAGAAAAACACAAUGUGGAGCAAACGCAAACACAGAGCGAGCGGCUAUCUUAAGCCUCGGCUGCAGAUCCGGCCGCAAGAAGGUCCGAUUGAUUCCCGAUGGCGUUUACCAAAGGAUCCUUCUAAGUCCAUCCGCAGAUGGGUGUGCAUGCA